AACGAACGCUGGCGGCAGGCUUAACACAUGCAAGUCGAGCGCCCCGCAAGGGGAGCGGCAGACGGGUGAGUAACGCGUGGGAAUCUACCCAUCUCUACGGAAUAACGCAUGGAAACGUGUGCUAAUACCGUAUACGUCCUUCGGGAGAAAGAUUUAUCGGAGAUGGAUGAGCCCGCGUUGGAUUAGCUAGUUGGUGGGGUAAAGGCCUACCAAGGCGACGAUCCAUAGCUGGUCUGAGAGGAUGAUCAGCCACACUGGGACUGAGACACGGCCCAGACUCCGACGGGAGGCAGCAGUGGGGAAUAUUGGACAAUGGGCGCAAGCCUGAUCCAGCCAUGCCGCGUGAGUGAUGAAGGCCCUAGGGUUGUAAAGCUCUUUCACCGGUGAAGAUAAUGGCGGUAACCGGAGAAGAAGCCCCGGCUAACUUCGUGCCAGCCGCCGCUGUAAGAC
rnacentral:rRNA from 1 species